CCACGACCAACCACCAAGUCUGAGAUAAGGGCUUUCUUAGGGCUAGCGGGAUACUAUCAGCAUUAUGUGCAACACUACUCUACCAUUGCCAGCCCUCUAACUGAUGCACUCCGGAAGUCGGAGCCAAUUAAAGUGACAUAGGACUCAGACAAAGAGAAUGCGUUUUGCAAGCCUAAACAAGCCUUAAGCGAAAAGCCCGUUCUCAUGGCGCCCGACUUUUCCAAGGGCUUUAUCAUUCAGUGCGACGCGAGUGAUCGCGGCAUGGGAGCUACAUUGUGCCAAGAAGAUGGCAGUGUGCACGAAAGACCAGUUUUGUAUUUAAGCCGAAAACUGAGCUGCAGGGAAGAGGCAUAUAGUAGCUCUGAAAAGGAAUGUGCCUGCCUCGUGUAGGCCGUUCAAAAGCUGGCCUGUUUUGUCUCCGGUUCCAAGUUUGUGGUCGAAACGGACCACUGUCCUCUAACCUGGUUGAAUAACAUGUCGUCCAGAAGUGGCCGGUUACUGAGAUGGAGCAUGAUACUUCAACAGCACAAUUUGAACGUUCGUUUGAAGAACGGAAAGUUGAACGCGAUA
rnacentral:lncRNA from 1 species